ACCCGCGUGGCCCAAUGGCAGGGCAUUGGACUUCUAAUCCAGGGGUUGCCGGUUCGAGUCCGGCCGUGGGUG